GAAUGCUCGGGGUUUUGCAGUGUUGCAUUCACCUCCUUAUUCAUUCUCGCCAUGUUGGGGCUUUGGACCAAGGUCCAGGUUAAUAGGCAACCCCACUAUUUCUGUUACAGUGCAGGAAGUUAUCUGACUUUUCCAGCUAAACAACACUGAGAGAAGGAGGAAACAUUUUUUCAGAGCAAGCAGGAGGUGCCGUGCAGCACAAUGUGACCCAGAGGCCACCAGUCUGUGGACUAAUAGACCACUGAUGCAUACAAGGUGUGAACACAGAGCACAAUGGUGAGAGAUAUCAGUUGGAAAGUACAGUAGGUGCUGCUGUCCUACAUAAAAAAAACAGAACUGGAACUAAGGAGGCAUUUCCAGUGUGCAAGAGGAGGCAAAGGCACUGGGGACUUUCGGCUUAGAUUCAGCAAGAUGCGUCUUAUACUUCAUGUAGAACUUUGACUUCAGUAAGACAACCUCCGUGCUUCACACUGGACAUAUAAGGACCUCUCUGCAGGCACUGGAGCUACAGUUGUACAAACUCAGAAUUUCAGUAUGAAGGCCAGAGGUAAAAAUUUAGGAUUAAGAGAAGGUAGCUAUGUGCUCUGUUGCAGAAGAAGUAGGCAUUACUGUAGACAAUAAUCCAAUAGCCCACAUUUCUGUAACAAACUCUGAUCUCAUGUGCACUUCAGAGCAUCUUUCAAGAGUGCAAACAGUUUUUGAAACUAGAUUUCACUGCUCCCUGUGAGGAGGAAAGCUUAUGGCCAUGACCUCACAAAUUAUAAAUAGAUUUCAAUGGAAGCAGAGGGCUAAGCAUAGAGUUGCCAUCCAAGGUGUAAUUUAAACUUUUGCUGAUGCUGACAGAGGCUGCUUCCACUGGGACUUCUUCGGGUGGCACCAAUUUGUUCAUCCAUAUGGGAACAGCAGGGAAGGAGAGGAAUGCUUCACUGUAACUUAUACAAGGCAAAAUGGAAAGAUGUUUGAGUGCCAUCAUGGGGGUGAAUUUAUUAUAUAUAUAUACACUUAAAAUUUACCUCUUUGUGAAACUGAUGUCAGUGUCAGCUCUUUCAGAUAUGGAGGAAAUUUACACAAAGAAGAUGCUUCCUUCUAUCACAAGUUCACUCUCCAUUCUGGCAACACUGCUUUCACUUGGUGAAAGUAGAUCAGAAUUCACCAUGUUAAUAAAAAAUAUAUUAGAAUCUGAUCCACUAUCUGCACCGAAGAAGCCAACAGGAAUAGCUUGUGUGACAGCAGAUUCUUAAUUAGGCCUCUCAUUAAUUGCUGUAGUUUUGCUGGGGAGCACAAAAUCACAUCACAAAGUCCUCUAGAUAACAAAGCCUUGCAACUCUGUCUGAAGUAGGAAAGGUGAGGUUACAGGAGGACAUGAAGCCAAAGGAGGUCGUGGAAUGAGUCAUUCUCCGUCUCAGAUCUGUGAUAGCGGGGAGAACAGAAAACGUGUGUGAUAUCCGCCAGCUGGAUUCCAUCUGUCUUUUCUCUGCGGAGAUGGAGUUUCAAAGGCUACAUCCUAUCUGCUGUCACACCCUCUCCCGACAUGAGAAGCUAAGUGUAAAGUUUGGCCAAAGUGAUGGAAAAAACAAUAUCUCUUUUGUACAUCACAACUAUUUCCCUACCUACACAAAAGUGGCAUUCUUCUUGUUCUGGCAUGCAUGAUGUACUGUUGCACUGUAUCACAACUUUCCUAUUAAAUAAAAGGAGCCUGGCCAAAGGGAUUUCAGAGAAAGUAAGCUUUUUUUAGUUUGUUUGUUCAUUUUUAAGACUGUGGAUCUGUGUGAGCGUGCUGGUUUGUCUACCAGAGCCAGUGCAGGGAAAUUAUGAUUGACAGGUAUAAAAAACACAGUUUGAUUACAAUAGAGGAUAUGGAUCCAUAGCAUUUCUGAGAGGGGAAAAAAAAAACACCUACCUGAAUAAAAGCCCAAUUUUGUU
ensembl:lncRNA